rnacentral:lncRNA from 12 species
UGUUGCUGGUUGCCCCUAGCAGGGCUGGGGUCAGUCUGAGGGGGCAGGGCGGGGCUGCUUCUUCAUUAAGAAGGGCUGUUUGGGCAGCCCGGGGGGCUCAGGGGUUUAGUGCCACCUUCAGCCCGGGGCCUGAUCCUGGAGACCUGGGAUCGAGUCCCAUGUCAGGCUCCCUGCAUGGAGCCUGCUUCUCCCUCUGCCUGGGUCUCUGCCUCUGUCUCUCUCUCUCUCUGUGUGUGUGUGUGUGUGUGUGUUUGUGUGUGUGUGUGUGUGUGUGUCUUUCAUGAAUAAAUAAAUAAAAUCUUUAAAAAAAAAAAAAAGAAGAAGAAGAAGAAGAAGGGCUGUUUGUGCUGUGGACCAGACCAGCCGCUGAUUCCCAGGCUGGGUAUUUACCCAACACUUAACUGGCUCUUUAUCGCUUUCAACAGAAAGCACCUCGGGAACUCUGCCGUGGGGCCGAGCAUAUACCUUUCCAGGUUGCAAACACACCUGUCGAUUACCCUCCCUGCUCAAGCGAGCCGCCACUCCCUGUGGGCCUCUGCCCUUGGGUGUGAAUUGGGGCUCAGGAAGGGACAGGAAGCCCCUCCAGCUUUGCCCCUGGGGACUGCUCGGGCUGGAAUCACCUGGUCUCUCUUCUCAGGAGACACAGUCUGAGAGGCAGAGCUGGGCCUGGAGCCAGGCCCCCUCGGGACACCACACUCCCUCUGAGGUGUGGGCCCCAGGGUCCCUGUCCCCAGGCUCCACCAGGAAGCCCAUGGCUGUGACUGAAGUCCCCGAGGGGAACAGAGCCUCCAAGGUCUGAGUGGGGCCAGAUCCAUGUUCCUCUUUGAAAUGACCUGUUUGCGGUGAGGACCUUGCCAAGGAAGUAGAGGCCUGCCCACCAACACGCCGUCAGCAAUUCCGGCUCGUGGCUGGAAGAGCCGCAAGAUGGAAGGAGCUGGAGUCACCUCGAGUGAGAAGUGAGGAGACCUCUGUUGUCGAGCUAUCUUGUGUCCUGGACUGUUUGUUACAGCAUCUGGAGCUGUCCUAACCAACACCGUCUCCCCGCACUGUUGGGAAGAUGGAACAGAUGCAGAAGAGCCUAGCAUGGUGCCUGGAACACAGAGAGUGCGGGUACUUACUAGAAGUUACUUUGCUUCUUUCCUAAUUAGUAUUAACUUUUCCCCAGCACAUGGGUAGACGUGGCCUCAGACUUUUCCUAGACUCUGGAUUGAUGGUUUAGCUCAUUUUAUAAUUAUGUUAUUAAUAUGAAUGAUAAUAAAAAC